UACAGAGGGUGCAAGCGUUGUUCGGAAUUAUUGGGCGUAAAGGGUGCGUAGGCGGUGCGGUAAGUCUGUAGUGAAAUCUCUGGGCUCAACUCAGAGUCUGCUAUAGAAACUGCCGUGCUAGAGUGUUGCAGGGGAGACUGGAAUUCCUGGUGUAGCGGUGAAAUGCGCAGAGUAUCAGGACGGAACACCGGUGGCGAAGGCGGGUCUCUGGGCAACAACUGACGCUGAGGAGCGAAAGCGUGGGGAGCGAACAGG
rnacentral:rRNA from 1 species